GUCAGCAGCCAUAUCACCCUGCAACUCACAACUUACAACCCACUUAAGCUAAGCAGGUGUGAGCCUGGUCAGUACCAGGAUGGGAGACUCCUGGGAAAGCUGAGGCUGCUAUUG
rnacentral:rRNA from 1 species